GAGGGCGGCUACGGCCCCGGGAGGAGGAGCUGGGUGGGGUGGAGGAGUGAGAAAUGAAGUUUCUAGGAUGGGCAGUCGGCGUCCUGUAAUUUAAUUUUGCGUGCUUCGCAGCGUCUUGGUGUGAGCUCUGGGUAUCUUAUCUGGCGGGCGGGGGCAGCAGGAGACCGGGAGAGCUACCGGGGAGGCUGACCAUUUUUCCCUGCGCGCAGCGGCCUACAGUGUGGGAGGGAGGCAUGGGCGUGGUUGAAACUCGUCCCCUUUCUUGACCUCACUUUGCGUUUCCCCUGCUUGUCCUACCACUUUAAGCUUCCUAGUUUCAUCUCCCUGUUCUCUCGCCACUGCUUUUGUUAUUUUCCGUUUCAAGUGCUUUAUCCGCCGCUUCGAGUUCUCCGGGACGUCUGUGGUCAAACCCCACACGUUGAAGUAUAAAAUAACCCGGUCUCACGCCUCUCACGAUUCUCUUAACCCAGGCGAGCGUAGACUCAGCUGAGGGAGAACUCUCAGAGGAGGUAGAUAGAAAGGAGCGCAAUUCAUUCUGUCGUGUUUAAGAGUAAUAUGGGAUAGGUGAUAGAAGCAGGCGCCUAUAAAUGGGCUCCGGAAGGAAGACAGUAAAAAAAAAAAGCGAUAACACUUCACCUUCUGUGGGGAAGCUGGAGACGUUCAUUCAGCUUUACCAAGUCCCAGGAUGUGAGAGUAAGACUACGAGUGCAAUAGUGUGUCUUUAUGAGGUUGACAGUUCAAUAAAGAGCUAAAAAUAGGUCAAGAGAAGUGCUAUGGGGAACACAAAGGAGGCAGCGCAUCCAGUAGGGGAAACUAAUGUUCCCGAGGGCUUCCUGUAAGAGGUGACAUGCCAGCCUCUGACCUUUGUCAUUCUUUGCAUGGGUUGUAGCAUGGGCAAAGAUGAGAGCAAUCUGUGCUGGGGGCAACUACAAGUUGAAGGUUGGUGUCAGUACAUGAGGGGGGAUACAAAUAAGAAACAGUCUUUUCAGGUGGACGGGAUAUGCCAUGAUCUUUUCCCAGAGGCUAUGGGGUCGCGGAGAGAAGCAUCUUUUGAAGGAAGUUAAUGUAUGGUUCAUAUCCAAGUUCUUUGAGACAGUGCUGGAGAAAAGUUUUUGAGAGAAACAAAAGUUAUCUAUAAUUUAAAAAAUAACGUUGACAGAAUCCUAUAAAGUUAACCAAUGGAUGUUUAAGUUUCUUUUAUCUAGUUGUGCAUGUAAUUUCCAAUUUUUAAAAGUACAUUUGCUAUUACUUUGUUAAUCUCAUUUCACAAUUGCCAUCUCUUUUUCCAUUAAAGAAGUUAAGGAAAAAAUUUUAACUAGGAAAACUUUUUUUAAAAAUUAGGAAUACGAGGAUCAAACCAAAAAUUUCUAUUGAAGUUGCCUUAAAUGAUGAUUUUUAAAGCUUGGCUAUCAGCAUUCAACUGAAAUACAAUUCACAAAUCCUACUAUUUACAUAGAAAUUACUACUGAUUUUCAACAGGAACACAUAAGCAUUUGAAAGAAACAGUGACUUUCAUAAUCAAGACGUUUAUAUUUCUGUCAUCUAAAAAUGAGUUCUGCUGAUUCUGCUAUAAGCAAUUGGUUUAAGUAGAAUAAAAACAACGUAGUAACUUUCAAAACAAAGCUUAACUGGGAUUUCAUGAAAUGUCUACCGAUUCUUUUCUCAGAUAGGUAAGUACAAAGUUAUUCAAAUGUUCGCACAUAAAAUUAUUACUAUUCCUGACUCAUGAAGUCAUGUUUUUUACAUUUUUGUCAUCCUUCAGCCCUAGAGUUUCCUGUUUUUACUUAUUACAGUGGUGAUUAGUACAUUGAUACAUUUAAUUCAGAGGCAAAUACUGAAUUAUAAUCUUCAUACAAUCUUUUUCUUGCAAGUAAGAUGAUAAAAAAAAUAUAUAAAUGGCUUCCUGCCCACUAGUGGUCUGUGGUGGAAUUUGACAGAAAGGAUGAAAAAUUUUGUCACUAAUAAUGGACCUUAGUGAUUUGGUUCCCCUAAAUAUAGUAAGGGAGCAACUUAAAUGGAUUUAACUUCUUAAUGCUAAGUUUACUAAGCAUAUGCAUAUAAAUAUGUAAAUACUAUUAAACUGGUUUAAAAUUAGCAUAAAUUUAUAAGCUGCUAUUGUCAUUUAGUUUAUAUUUACCAGUAUUUAGAGACAAACAUUCUAAAUCCUUGCACUUUCACCUUUUGCCAGCAUAUAAAUUUAUAAGUAGCUAAAUUUCACUUGGUCUAGACUUGACCCAUAUGUUGGGGCUUUCCUGGUGGCUCAGUAGUAAAGAAUCCGCCUGCCAAUGCAAGAGACACAGGCUCAAUCCCUGGUUCAGGAAGAUCCCCUGGAGAAGGAAAUGGCAACCCACUCCAGUAUUCUUGCCUGGGAAAUCCCAUGGACAGAGGAGCCGCGAGGGCUAGUCCAUGGGGUCACUUAGGGACUAAAGUGACUAAAGUGACUCUUAGUCAUGACUAAGAGUCAUGACCUAGGGACUAAACAGCAACAAUCCCUAUGUUACCAUGGAGUAUGUCCUUGAGUUUGAUAGAAGGCAAUGAGAGCGGGCCACCUAAAAGACUGUGUAGAUCUUUUGUACGGAAUCUUCACCUUCUCCUUCUUCUAGUCUCACUGUUUAAGAAAAUAGCAUUUGGCAGAUGGUAGAGAGAUCAUUGAAGUAGUAGGCUUUGUUAAG